GCUACUCUGGUGCUUUGGGGCCACUUUUAAGUACAAUAAGGGCUACGUGAUCUCAAGCACUGCGGACGACGGUCGAUCUGAUCACCUGGUCGAUGAAGGGACUAACAGGGGAGACGCUAUGGACAAAGACUACAGUAUGGCGUUAUGCCCUGGGAAACCAAAAAAUCCGAGUGACUUGCUUUCUCGCAGUGGUCUGAACCUGAGCCUGCAGUGUCUCUGAGGUUGGUGAAAAACCCAAGGUCCUGGGUGUUAUGUCAUUAGGUUUUAGGAAGGAUAGUCAGGUACAUUCUUUGCUGACUUGAAGGCAAAUAAGCUCUUGACCAGCACUGUACUUGGAGAUAAUCACAUCAGAACACCCAGAUCAAAUUCAGAAUGACUCAAUAAAGUUAAGCAACUAAAGACUGUUCCUAUUAAUUCUAUUAGCAUCAGUAUGCAGGAAAAACAAAAUGAAAAAAAAAAAGACCAAAAAAGUAAUAAGCAAAUUAAUGAAAUAA